rnacentral:rRNA from 1 species
GACGAACGCUGGCGGCGUGCUUAACACAUGCAAGUCGAACGAAGUGGCGAACGGGUGAGUAAUACGUGGGUAACCUGCCUUUCAGAGGGGGACAACAGUUGGAAACGACUGCUAAUACCGCAUACUGAAGGAGGGGAUUGCGGCGGAUUAGCUAGUUGGAGGGGUCACGGCCAACCAAGGCGAUGAUCAGUAGCCGGUCUGGGAGGAUGAUGGGCCACAUUGGGACUGAGACACGGCCCAGACUCCUAAGGGAGGCAGCCGUGGGGAAUCUUCCGCAAUGGACGAAAGUCUGACGAAGCAACGCCGCGUGAGUGAUGACGGCCUUCGGGUUGUAAAGCUCUGUUAAUCGGGACGCGGUACCGGAAUAGAAAGCCACGGCUAACUACGUGCCAGCAGCCGCGGUAAUUC